rnacentral:rRNA from 1 species
CUACGGGUUGCUCCAGUAAGGAAUAUUGCGCAAUGGAGGCAACUCUGACGCAGCCAUGCCGCGUGCAGGACUGAAGGCCUUAUGGGUCGUAAACUGCUUUUAUUUAGGAAUAAACUCUUGUACGUGUACGAGACUGAAGGUACUAAAUGAAUAAGCACCGGCUAACUCCGUGCCAGCAGCCGCGGUAAUACGGAGGGUGCAAGCGUUAUCCGGAUUUAUUGGGUUUAAAGGGUGCGCAGGCGGACUAUUAAGUCAGAGGUGAAGUCCCGGAGCUCAACUUCGGAACUGCCUUUGAUACUGGUAGUCUUGAAUACGGUUGAAGUAGGCGGAAUGUAGCAUGUAGCGGUGAAAUGCAUAGAGAUGCUACAGAACACCGAUCGCGAAGGCAGCUUACUAAGCCGAUAUUGACGCUCAGGCACGAAAGCGUGGGGAGCGAAUAGGAUUAGAUACCCUUGUAGUC